GACAGAGGGGGCAAGCGUUGCUCGGAAUUACUGGGCGUAAAGGGCGCGUAGGUGGCCCGGUCAGUUCGUGGUGAAAGCGCGGGGCUCAACCCUGCGUCGGCCAUGAAUACUGCCGCGGCUGGAGCACUGUAGAGGCAGGCGGAAUUCCGGGUGGAGCGGUGAAAUGCGUAGAUAUUGGAAAGAACACCGAUGGCGAAGGCACUCUACUGGGCUAUUACUGACACUCAGAGACGAAAGCUAGGGGAGCAAAUGGG
rnacentral:rRNA from 1 species